AUUGAACGCUGGCGGCAGGCCUAACACAUGCAAGUCGAGCGGAUGAAGGGAGCUUGCUCCUGGAUUCAGCGGCGGACGGGUGAGUAAUGCCUAGGAAUCUGCCUGGUAGUGGGGGAUAACGUCCGGAAACGGGCGCUAAUACCGCAUACGUCCUGAGGGAGAAAGUGGGGGAUCUUCGGACCUCACGCUAUCAGAUGAGCCUAGGUCGGAUUAGCUAGUUGGUGGGGUAAGGCCUACCAAGGCGACGAUCCGUAACUGGUCUGAGAGGAUGAUCAGCCACACUGGAACUGAGACACGGUCCAGACUCCUACGGGAGGCAGCAGUGGGGAAUAUUGGACAAUGGGCGAAAGCCUGAUCCAGCCAUGCCGCGUGUGUGAAGAAGGUCUUCGGAUUGUAAAGCACUUUAAGUUGGGAGGAAGGGCAGUAAGUUAAUACCUUGCUGUUUUGACGUUACCAACAGAAUAAGCACCGGCUAACUUCGUG
rnacentral:rRNA from 1 species